AUGGACUCUAUUACUUUAAGGAUGGUUUUGAGAAUAAAGUGGCUUAUAGCCUUUAGUGGUAUCAGUUCUACCUCAGUGCGGGAUCAAAUAAUGCUCUGGCAUAAUAGACUAGGGCAUCCUAAUUUUCAAUAUCUUAGGCAUUUGUUUCCAGAUUUAUUCAAAACUGUUAAUUAUUCUUCUUUUGAAUGUGAAAGUUGUGUUCUUUCUAAAAGUCACGAAACUCCUUAUUUCUCUUGA